CGGUACGGAUCGGGUAGUGAUGUAAAAUUCUCAAUUCUGCCAGCUGAACAUAUACGAGAUUUUAAUGAGGAUGAAUAAUUAGCCGGCAUGGAGGAAACGGACCUUUAUUUGGUGGAGUGGCGACAAGAAGCCAAAAGACGGGUGGCCGGUCUAUGAAGCCUCCAUCAUCAAGCUAGCAGCCCAUGAAAUCGAAUGCAGAUCUUCCUGAUGUCAGAUUUACAUAAAUAUGUCAAAGUCUCAACCUCAUGCUGCCCUCCCCCAUCCUCCUAAACCUGUGGUUACAAAUGCAGAUUUCCUUAAUGUUCAAUGGUGCGUGUUCUUCUAAUGGCCGCCUUCCCACUGGAGGUUUUGAUCCACAGCAAUUUAAAAGGAGGACAGAUCAAAACGGACAUCGGCGCAGAGCGAAGAACUGCCCUUCAUAAGGACACUAUGACAGCCAUAUAUAUGGCGGUAAGGAAGAGGUUUCCCAAUGUGUCCAGAAGGGCUUUGAGGAUUGCAGUGAAAGCUGGGGGAACUGAGACUGCUGGAAAAGGAAAAGAAAUUACAUUUAAAGUAUGUUGACUUAUGUUCACACAAUCACACACACAUAUACACAUACACACACAUAUGUGUACAUAUAUAUAUAUAUACACACAUAUAUAUGUAUAUGUGUGUCUGUGUUUCUUUUAGAAUGUUUAAGUAUGUAAUGAGAAUAAAAUUAUAAAAUGAAUAUUCCUUGCUUGAUUGAUAUGUUAUAUGUAUGUUUUAAACAUCAAAUAAAGAUUUCUUUCAGCUGUUA